AUAAUCAUUUGCUUGAUAAAUUUGUUACACAACCCUACCAAAGCCGAUGUGUGCACAGAUGAUAACUGGCAUGCUUGACUCUGGAUAGGAACAUUAACACACUCUGUGUAGGAUGUUUAGCUUCUAUAGAUAAAUAUCCAAGGGAUAGACUGUGACAUUUCAUCUUUAUAAUGAUUGUAUUUUAAAAUUAGUAUCCUAGUUUAUCCCUAGACUAAAUCUUCUUAUAUUUUUUCUAGAUACUGAUGCAACAACUCCAAAAUGAAGAUAUUUAUGUAAAUUAUUUUCCUGAGCCUCUAGACAUGACUCAUGUUGUACUAGUACAUAAUGUCAAUUUGAAGACGGCAGACUGCAGAUAGCUCAAUAUUAUGAAGUAUACUGAACUAAUAUAGGUGCAAAUUGGAUUACCAAAUGGCUGUUGAAUAACUCACCUUAGAUUGGGGAUUGAUAGGUCCUAAGUUCUAAUAUCAUCAAAAUCUAAUAUCAUCCUAAAUUCUAAUAUCUAAUAUCAUCCUAAAUUCUAAUAUCUAAUAUCAGCAAAAAUAUUUGGAAGCGAAAGGGGAGCAGUAAUUCUGGUUCAUGGCUGACAAAUCAAAUUUUCCUGAGCACCUUUGGAGAUGUCUUAUGUCUACAUAAUGCCCAUAUGAAGACUGCUGUUUUUUUAUGAAGUAUCCUGAACUAAUAGGUAAAAUCGAGGGACGUAAAUGUGUUCUAAAAGUGAAUAUUAAUUAUUAUUAUUUUCAGUCUUAAAAUUAUAUUUUAAAUUCUAAAAAAUCUAUUAUGUAAUUUAUACUUUAAUGUUGAAUUUUUUGACAAGCAUAUUAUAUCUCGAAUUUAUUUGAAGAAUCAUUUAUCCUGAUAAAUAUUUAAAUGAUUUUGUAUUGAUAUAUUAAAAGUUGUAAAUAUUAUUUGCUUAAAUAUGGUUUUGUUAAUUUUCAGCUGAAGUUGUGUUGGAAGUUUUAUUAUGAAUCAAUAAAAUAUAAUAGACU